rnacentral:rRNA from 1 species
UACGAAGGGGGCAAGCGUUGUUCGGAAUUACUGGGCGUAAAGGGCGCGUAGGCGGCUUAUCAAGUCAGGCGUGAAAUUCCCGGGCUCAACCUGGGGGCUGCGUCGGAUACUGGAUGGCUUGAAUUCGGGAGAGGGAUGCAGAAUUCCAGGUGUAGCGGUGAAAUGCGUAGAUAUCUGGAGGAAUACCGGUGGCGAAGGCGGCAUCCUGGACCGACAUUGACGCUGAACGGCGAAAGCUAGGGGAGCAAACGGG